UACGUAGGGUGCAAGCGUUGUCCGGAAUUACUGGGCGUAAAGCGUGCGCAGGCGGUUCUAUAAGACAGAUGUGAAAUCCCCGGGCUCAACCUGGGAACUGCAUUUGUGACUGUAGAGCUGGAGUACGGCAGAGGGGGAUGGAAUUCCGCGUGUAGCAGUGAAAUGCGUAGAUAUGCGGAGGAACACCGAUGGCGAAGGCAAUCCCCUGGGCCUGUACUGACGCUCAUGCACGAAAGCGUGGGGAGCAAACAGG
rnacentral:rRNA from 1 species